rnacentral:rRNA from 1 species
GUGGGGAAUAUUGGACAAUGGGGGGAACCCUGAUCCAGCCAUGCCGCGUGUGUGAAGAAGGCCUUUUGGUUGUAAAGCACUUUAAGCGAGGAGGAGGCUACCGAGAUUAAUACUCUUGGAUAGUGGACGUUACUCGCAGAAUAAGCACCGGCUAACUCUGUGCCAGCAGCCGCGGUAAUACAGAGGGUGCACGCGUUAAUCGGAUUUACUGGGCGUAAAGCGCGCGUAGGUGGCCAAUUAAGUCAAAUGUGAAAUCCCCGAGCUUAACGUGGGAAUUGCAUUCGAUACUGGUUGGCUAGAGUAUGGGAGAGGAUGGUAGAAUUCCAGGUGUAGCGGUGAAAUGCGUAGAGAUCUGGAGGAAUACCGAUGGCGAAGGCAGCCAUCUGGCCUAAUACUGACACUGAGGUGCGAAAGCAUGGGGAGCAAACAGGAUUAGAUACCCUGGUAGUCC